CGUUGGUUAUUCUUAUUCUUUGUGUUGUUAAUCAUAGUUUGGUGGGCUGGUUGCUGUGGUAAACACCCUUAUUUAUCUAGUUUUGUUGGUUACUUGUUGAAUCAGAGAGUGGUCAUCAAAGUGGUCCUCGAUUCUUUGAACUAGUGGACUAUUUUGGUGUAUGUUUUCGUGUGUUCCUUGCCUUUCUUGUAUCAUUUGGUAUC
rnacentral:lncRNA from 1 species